CUCAGAGUUAAAAAGGGACUUAACACUUUCAACUCGGAUAGAGUUAUUAAGGUAAAUGUUCUCCCAGGGGGCAUUAUUAAAGGUAAAAUCCAAGCGUCCAUGAAAAAGAAAAUAUACCAGGCUGAGGUGAGCGAGCUGAUAGGGUUAGUGUUAGCAAGGUAAUAUUAGGCAUUCUGGCUUUUAAUGUCACACGCCACGUUAUUUGGCGUUUCAUCAACCCUGGAUAAAGACUGCCAUUGCUUUAUUCUAUCAGUAGAUAAUUGUUUUCCAAUGUUUGACUUGAUAAAAUGGACGUGACGUUCUUGGAUCCAAGGCUAGCCUUUCAUGUGUUUAGCCCCAGAAUGGCUGUGCUCUUCACAUACUGUAAUGCUCUAAAAGGUUUUAUAAAUUCAAAAUACGUAUUUGGAAUUAAUUACAUGUAAGAUCACAGCCAUUUUAGGGCUACCAUAUGCCACUAUCUGUUUUAAACGUUCCACCUUCGAUACAGGUCAAGUGGGCAACAGGAAAUAUGGGCACCUUGAAGUAAUAUAGUGUAUUUUGUCAAAGUUCCUUUUUAAUGGUGGUUCUGUGGCUCAGAUGCUAUAUGAAUUUUGGGCCUUGAUAUGAAAAAUGUUGAAAACCACUGGUCUAUAUUAACAAAGUAUUAAUGUUAAAGCAUUGAACAUUUAUGAGUGAUUAUAACAAUACUGCAGUAUGAGCACCUAAUGUGUUUAUAAAACAUCAUAGGCAUAGGAUGCCUCGCUAUGUGAACUGUAUCUUGGUGUCUUUAUAACAGGAUGGCUUAUCGCAAGAAACGAAUCACAGCUAGCAACUUUGGUUAGGUCUUGGCGGCAGUCAAGCACAAGCGGUACCCACCUUCCUUGUUCAAAACCCUGCUUGGCCAGUACAACUUCAAAGAAGCUUCUAAAGUUAGUAAUGAUGUAAUAAUGAUUUCAACUUAAGAUGUCAUUGUCUCUAACAAGUAACUUAUGAACUGAGUGGUAUGUUUUCCCUCCCUCACUUUCUCAAGGCAUGUGAAAAUUGUCAUAUCGUAAUACCCACCUCUAGGUCGAAUGUCCCUGGUCAACCAAAAAUAUGACAGUUCGGUAGGCAGCAGCAG